GGAUGUGAGGACGAUCUAGCUGUGACAUCUGUCACCCCGUUGAUUGUCAGGGUUGAUUCGGCUGAUCUGGCUGACCAGGCAGGUGUCUCCUUCCUCCCUCACCACUCCAUGUAUGUCCGUCCCAAAGCUGCAUGCUUGGUGGCAGAGGAUGACCUUCCCUGAUAGAGAAGGACCAUUCUUUGGUCAACGGUACACAAGUAGCUACGCUUCCCUGCUAGAACCUCCAAACAUACUCUUAAAGAAUGUAAGUCUGUCGUAUCUCAUGUCAAGUAAGUGGGUUUUGGAUUAUCCACAUGAUCAACUCCAUGAGCCC
rnacentral:snRNA from 1 species